rnacentral:lncRNA from 1 species
AUGUGCAUGAUUUGCUCUGCUUGCUAUCCCUCCACCAUCCCCGCCCUCAGCACUGUGCAUCCCAGCCCUUCUCUCAGCUGGCAAGCACAGGCCCCAGAUGCCAGACUGUGGAAGAUAUUUAUCUGCUACAUCUGGUUCCUUAGCAGAUUCGACAGGCCUCUGUGCUGGCAGCUUCAGAAAUGCCUUUGGGCUUGUCACAUGCUGAAAACUCCCUACUGGCUGUCGGAAUUGGCAACUGUGCUUUGGCUCAAUGAAAAGAUGGGAGAAACACUCUUUUGUCCACCUACUGAUAACCUCUCAUGCUGACCCUGUGAAGUGGCAUGGUCUCAACUAAGACAGCUCUCCUCAGCAACAGAAGAAGGUCGACAGCAUAUGGGAGAAGAUCUUCUGUCCUGCAGGCAGUCUGGCAGGCUCAGCACACUGUCCACAAGGUAUAUGUCUCUCUUGCUCUGUUACAGUGGGAACUUCUUCAGCUGGGGAGGGGAUUUCAAUUCUUUAGGACAGAGAAGUGUCAUCCAGUGACGGCACAUUGCCCAUAUGACAGAAGCUGAAGGACUGAAGGAAAUGGAAUGAACAAGACAUUUUUAUGUUUUACAUAUGAGCAUAAAUAUGAGAAACAAUUUAAGUAUCUACUUAAUGAUCACAAAAAUUUCCAGGUACUCAUCCUCAUUCAUAAACACGAAUACAAACAGGAAGUCUAUAGCACUUUGGCUAUCUGAUGGCAGGUGGGGUGGACAGAGAGUAAUGUUAUGCUGUAUAUCACUGAUGGUGUGUCACUGCUUUCAAAGUCAUUUCCAUUGCUAAGUUCUCUGAACUGAUGGGUAGAAGAAUCCCCAAAGUAGUCCCUUCCUUGGAACUCAUAGACAUAGGCCACAUCACACCAUAGUUAUUGGAUUAGGUGGAUUGAUGGUAAGAGGAGAUGCAAAUACACAGAAUACAAGGCAUAUGCAAUGAAGAGCAUGUGCAAUGACACUGUAGCCCAGCUGCAAGAACCAUAGCAAUAGGGCACAAGAGUCAUUAUUGAGGGUUUUAACAUAAGAGUGGAGGCCUGCCCACAAGGGAAGUCAGAGCAGCAAGCAAUAUGCACCAAAUUUUUAGAAUUUAAGGCUAUUGAAUCUCUUUGCCACUUUAUUGAUCACUCAGUGACUAUUCAUAUUAAGUCCUAGACUACUUUUAUCUAAUGUUAUCUGAGCCUUUACGUUUGUCACACCUUGAGUUAGUUUUUUUGUUGGUUUAUUUUAAUUUUCUAUUAAUAUGAGCAAUAAAGAAUGGGCAGUACCAUAUACUACCUGUAAU